rnacentral:rRNA from 1 species
AGAGUUUGAUCCUGGCUCAGGAUGAACGCUAGCUACAGGCUUAACACAUGCAAGUCGAGGGGAAACGAUAUUGGAAAGCUUGCUUCCGAUAGGCGUCGACCGGCGCACGGGUGAGUAACGCGUAUCCAACCUGCCCACCACGUUGGGGAUAACCUUGCGAAAGUAAGACUAAUACCCAAUGACGUCUCUAGAAGACAUCUGAAAGAGAUUAAAGAUUUAUCGGUGAUGGAUGGGGAUGCGUCUGAUUAGCUUGUUGGCGGGGUAACGGCCCACCAAGGCGACGAUCAGUAGGGGUUCUGAGAGGAACGGCCCCCACAUUGGAACUGAGACACGGUCCAAACUCCUACGGGAGGCAGCA